CCUUAAGUCGGAGAAUGAUUAGGAGAACGGUCUGGGAAGGCCGGCCAUAGUGGGUGAUAGCCCCGUAUCCGAAAAUCUGAUCAGGUGAAAUCGAGUAGGUCGGAGCACGUGAAACUUUGACUGAACAUGGGGGGACCAUCCUCCAAGGCUAAAUACUCCUGGCUGACCGAUAGUGAACCAGUACCGUGAGGGAAAGGCGAAAAGAACCCCGGAGAGGGGAGUGAAAUAGAACCUGAAACCGUGUACGUACAAGCAGUCGGAGCCCUCUUUGUGGGGUGACGGCGUACCUUUUGUAUAAUGGGUCAGCGACUUAAUUUCAGUAGCGAGGUUAACCGUUUAGGGGAGCCGUAGGGAAACCGAGUCUUAAUAGGGCGUUUAGUUGCUGGGAUUAGACCCGAAACCGGGCGAUCUAUCCAUGGGCAGGUUGAAGAUGCGGUAACACGCAUUGGAGGACCGAACCGACUACCGUUGAAAAGUUAGCGGAUGACCUGUGGAUCGGAGUGAAAGGCUAAUCAAGCUCGGAGAUAGCUGGUUCUCCCCGAAAGCUAUUUAGGUAGCGCCUCGGACGAAUACCACUGGGGGUAGAGCACUGUUUCGGCUAGGGGGUCAUCCCGACUUACCAACCCGAUGCAAACUCCGAAUACCAGUGAGUACUAUCCGGGAGACACACAGCGGGUGCUAACGUCCGUUGUGAAGAGGGAAACAACCCAGACCGCCAGCUAAGGUCCCCAAAUACCAGUUAAGUGGGAAACGAUGUGGGAAGGCUCAGACAGCUAGGAGGUUGGCUUAGAAGCAGCCAUCCUUUAAAGAAAGCGUAAUAGCUCACUAGUCGAGUCGGCCUGCGCGGAAGAUGUAACGGGGCUCAAACUGGUCACCGAAGCUGCGGCUGCAUACUUUGUAUGCGGGGUAGGGGAGCGUUCUGUAAGCCUGCGAAGGUGUGUUGAGAAGCAUGCUGGAGGUAUCAGAAGUGCGAAUGCUGACAUGAGUAACGACAAUGCGGGUGAAAAACCCGCACGCCGGAAGACCAAGGGUUCCUGCGCAACGCUAAUCGGCGCAGGGUGAGUCGGCCCCUAAGGCGAGACCGAAAGGUGUAGUCGAUGGGAAACGGGUUAAUAUUCCCGUACCUUGGAUAGCUGCGAUGGAGAGACGGAGAAGGCUAGGUGAGCCGGGCGACGGUUGUCCCGGUUUAAGCGAGUAGGGAGUGGACUUAGGCAAAUCCGGGUCCACAAUCUCGAGACGCGACGACGACUGCUCUUAGAGCGGGAAGUCAUUGAUGCCAUGCUUCCAGGAAAAUCUUCUAAGCUUCAGGCUAUUCGAGACCGUACCCCAAACCGACACAGGUGGUCAGGUAGAGAAUACCAAGGCGCUUGAGAGAACUCGGGUAAAGGAACUAGGCAAAAUGGUGCCGUAACUUCGGGAGAAGGCACGCUGGUGGUAAGUGAAAUCCCUGCGGGUGGAGCUGAAGCCAGUCGAAGAUACCAGGCCCCUGCGACUGUUUAUUAAAAACACAGCACUGUGCAAACACGAAAGUGGACGUAUACGGUGUGACGCCUGCCCGGUGCCGGAAGGUUAAUUGAUGGGGUUAGCGCUUGCGCGAAGCUCUUGAUCGAAGCCCCGGUAAACGGCGGCCGUAACUAUAACGGUCCUAAGGUAGCGAAAUUCCUUGUCGGGUAAGUUCCGACCUGCACGAAUGGCGUAACGAUGGGGGCGCUGUCUCUACCCGAGACUCAGUGAAAUUGAAAUCGCCGUGAAGAUGCGGUGUAUCCGCGGCUAGACGGAAAGACCCCGUGAACCUUUACUAUAGCUUCACAGUGAACUUUGAGCAUGUUUGUGUAGGAUAGCUGGGAGGCUUUGAAGUGGGAACGCCAGUUCUCAUGGAGCCAACCUUGAAAUACCAGCCUGACAUGUUUGAGGUUCUAACUUGGUCCCCUUAUCGGGGAUGAGGACACUGUGUGGUGGGUAGUUUGACUGGGGCGGUCUCCUCCCAAAGCGUAACGGAGGAGCACAAAGGUGGGCUAAGCAUGGUCGGACAUCAUGCGGUUAGUGUAAUGGCACAAGCCCGCUUAACUGCGAGACAGACACGUCGAGCAGGUACGAAAGUAGGUCAUAGUGAUCCGGUGGUUCUGUAUGGAAGGGCCAUCGCUCAACGGAUAAAAGGUACUCCGGGGAUAACAGGCUGAUACCGCCC
rnacentral:rRNA from 1 species